rnacentral:rRNA from 1 species
CCUACGGGUGGCCGCAGUGAGGAAUAUUGGUCAAUGGGCGCGAGCCUGAACCAGCCAAGUAGCGUGAAGGAUGACUGCCCUACGGGUUGUAAACUUCUUUUAUAAAGGAAUCACUUGAGGCACGUGUGCCUUUUUGUAUGUACUUUCUGAAUCAGGAUCGGCUAACUCCGUGCCAGCAGCCGCGGUAAUCCGGAGGAUCCGAGCGUUAUCCGGAUUUAUUGGGUUUAAAGGGAGCGUAGAUGGGUUGUUAAGUCAGUUGUGAAAGUUUGCGGCUCAACAGUAAAAUUGCAAUUGAUACUGGGAGUCUUGAGUACAGUUGAGGUAGGCGGAAUUCGUGGUGUAGCGGUGAAAGGCUUAGAUAUCACGAAGAACUCCGAUUGCGAAGGCAGCUUACUAAACUGCCACUGACAUUGAUGCUCGAAAGUGUGGGUAUCAAACAGGAUUAGAUACCCUUGUAGUC